AUUAACACACCUUAAAUUCACUUAUUUAAUACUUGAGGGAUUAUUCGUCUUACUCACUUUGUUAUAUUGUUUAUUUUUUUUCAGGUAAAGGUGGCCAUACCAAACAAACGACUUGUUGACGACAGAGACGCUGUGUUUAGCCCCGGAGCAGAUGAGAAGGAUGGACGACUAGAGGAGCAGCAGGAGAGCGAUGGUGGCCUUUCUUUCACUAGGCUAUGGCGGGGCUCCUCUGUGUCUGUGCUACUCUUUGAGCAGCUGAGAGUGGCUGUCAAUCAUCUCAGGCAGAACCAGGACCACAGCAGACCACUGAGCCACUCUCAGCCUCAACCCCCCCCUGCCUCUCCACCCCGACCCCCGCCAACACCACCAGGUCCUGCCCCCACCCGACCAGCACGGAGGACCUUGUUACCAUCUUCUUCUUCUGUGCUGGAGGCUUUGGGAAGCUCCUCACACACACCACAGACAGCUGAGAAACUAUUCUAAAGCCAUUGACUUUAUUACACUGAAUACAGUUUGUUACUACCAUACUGUUUAUCUUCUGAAUAAAUAUCUUAAAUAAAAAA